ACCGUACUAGAGAAAUGGUUAACUCGUCGGCCUUCUAUGCAAAUAUGCAAAUAUAGAUCAUAGAGCCGAAGAUUCUCGGUUCGAGUCCGGGGUACGGUG